GCAUUGGUGGUAUAGUGGUGAGCAUAGCUGCCUUCUAAGCAGUUGAUGUGGGUUUGAUUCCCAGCCAGUGCA